rnacentral:rRNA from 1 species
GAUGAACGCUGGCGGCGUGCCUAAUACAUGCAAGUCGAGCGAACAGACGAGGAGCUUGCCCCCCUGACGUUAGCGGCGGACGGGUGAGUAACACGUGGAUAACCUCCCUAUAAGACUGGGAUAACUUCGGGAAACAGGAGCUAAUACCGGAUAAUAUAUUGAACCGCAUGGUUCAAUAGUGAAAGACGGUUUUGCUGUCUCUUAUAGAUGGAUCCGCGCCGCAUUAGCUAGUUGGUAAGGUAACGGCUUACCAAGGGAACGAUGGGUGGCCGACCUGAGAGGGGGAUCGCCCACACUGGACCUGGGCCACGCCCCGGCCUCCUCCGGAGGGCACCGGUAGGGAUUCUUCCGCAAUGGGCGAAGGCCUGACGGGGCACCGCCGCGUAGGUGAUGAAGGUCUUCGGAUCGUAAGACUCUGUUAUUAGGGAGGAACAAAUGUGUAAGUAACUAUACACGUAUUGACGGUACCUGAUCAGAAAGCCACGGCUAACUACGUG